CUAAUGCAAAGUGGGUGGUGGCACGGUGUACAUCUUUUUAUGUUAUUGAUAAAUAUAAAUCAAUAUGUAUAGCGUGUUAACGGCAGUGGCUCUUUUGUUUAUUUUUUGCGAUGUUAGCUACUAUAUCAGAGCGAUUGGGGUUCUUUUAUUCGGAAGACUUUACGCAAAGAAAUGCAAUAUAUCUGAAACAACAGUUCAUUAUGGCAUUUGCACAACUAGGGAUGUUGACAUCUUUUUGACGCACAUGAGUAACGCCCGGUUCCUUCGAGCGGUGGAUUUCGCCAGGCAGCACUUCUAUGACCGAACCGGCAUUUAUUCCAAACUGUUUAAGAGCACGACUUUCGUGAAGGCGUCCACUAUUCGAUAUAGACGACCAAUUGCAUUAUUCAGCCAUUAUAAAGUCGAGACCAGGAUGUUAUGCUGGGAAAAUCAGACAAUGUAUCUGGAACACAAGUUCGUCACUCUGAAAGAUACCUUUGUGAGGGCUGUGGCUCUUUCGCAAAACUACGUGGUUGGCGUUGAUUUACCUACCGCGAUGGAGGAUAUCCCAGGUGCAGAUGCCUUUAAGACUGUCCCUGAAGAAGUUACGCAGUGGCGCGAAUUUCUGGAAGCUUCGAGCGUUAGACUUAGGAAAAAGGAUUAACAUAUUUGAUCUCUAUUUCGCUCAUACCUGUAGAAAUACCUAUAGAUGAUAACAGUUCCGGUAACAGGACUAUAACCGCGAAAAUAGAAGUUCGCAAAUUGGGCAUAUCUCUCUGUCAGUCUAAUUACGCCUUCAUUGGAGUAAAAGAGAAAGAUCCCCG